GAUGAACGCUGGCGGCGUGCCUAAUACAUGCAAGUCGAGCGAACAGACGAGGAGCUUGCUCCUCUGACGUUAGCGGCGGACGGGUGAGUAACACGUGGAUAACCUACCUAUAAGACUGGGAUAACUUCGGGAAACCGGAGCUAAUACCGGAUAAUAUAUUGAACCGGAUGGUUCAAUAGUGAAAGACGGUUUUGCUGUCACUUAUAGAUGGAUCCGCGCCGCAUUAGCUAGUUGGUAAGGUAACGGCUUACCAAGGCAACGAUGCGUAGCCGACCUGAGAGGGUGAUCGGCCACACUGGAACUGAGACACGGUCCAGACUCCUACGGGAGGCAGCAGUAGGGAAUCUUCCGCAAUGGGCGAAAGCCUGACGGAGCAACGCCGCGUGAGUGAUGAAGGCCUUCGGAUCGUAAAACUCUGUUAUUAGGGAAGAACAAAUGUGUAAGUAACUAUGCACGUCUUGACGGUACCUAAUCAGAAAGCCACGGCUAACUACGUG
rnacentral:rRNA from 1 species